rnacentral:rRNA from 1 species
GACGAACGCUGGCGGCGUGCUUAACACAUGCAAGUCGAACGGAAAGGCCCUGCUUUUGUGGGGUGCUCGAGUGGCGAACGGGUGAGUAACACGUGAGUAACCUGCCCUUGACUUUGGGAUAACUUCAGGAAACUGGGGCUAAUACCGGAUAGGAGCUCCUGCUGCAUGGUGGGGGUUGGAAAGUUUCGGCGGUUGGGGAUGGACUCGCGGCUUAUCAGCUUGUUGGUGGGGUAGUGGCUUACCAAGGCUUUGACGGGUAGCCGGCCUGAGAGGGUGACCGGCCACAUUGGGACUGAGAUACGGCCCAGACUCCUACGGGAGGCAGCAGUGGGGAAUAUUGCACAAUGGGCGGAAGCCUGAUGCAGCAACGCCGCGUGCGGGAUGACGGCCUUCGGGUUGUAAACCGCUUUCGCCUGUGACGAAGCGUGAGUGACGGUAAUGGGUAAAGAAGCACCGGCUAACUACGUGCCAGCAGCCGCGGUGAUACGUAAGGUGCGAGCGUUGUCCGGAUUUAUUGGGCGUAAAGGGCUCGUAGGUGGUUGAUCGCGUCGGAAGUGUAAUCUUGGGGCUUAACCCCUGAGCGUGCUUUCAAUACGGGUUGACUUGAGGAAGGUAGGGGAGAAUGGAAUUCCUGGUGGAGCGGUGGAAUGCGCAGAUAUCAGGAGGAACACCAGUGGCGAAGGCGGUUCUCUGGGCCUUUCCUGACGCUGAGGAGCGAAAGCGUGGGGAGCGAACAGGCUUAGAUACCCUGGUAGUCCACGCUGUAAACGGUGGGUACUAGGUGUGGGGUCCAUUCCACGGGUUCCGUGCCGUAGCUAACGCUUUAAGUACCCCGCCUGGGGAGUACGGCCGCAAGGCUAAAACUCAAAGGAAUUGACGGGGCCCCGCACAAGCGGCGGAGCAUGCGGAUUAAUUCGAUGCAACGCGUAGAACCUUACCUGGGUUUGACAUGGAUCGGGAGUGCUCAGAGAUGGGUGUGCCUCUUUUGGGGUCGGUUCACAGGUGGUGCAUGGCUGUCGUCAGCUCGUGUCGUGAGAUGUUGGGUUAAGUCCCGCAACGAGCGCAACCCUUGUUCACUGUUGCCAGCACGUUAUGGUGGGGACUCAGUGGAGACCGCCGGGGUCAACUCGGAGGAAGGUGGGGAUGACGUCAAGUCAUCAUGCCCCUUAUGUCCAGGGCUUCACGCAUGUUACAAUGGCUGGUACAGAGAGUGGCGAGCCUGUGAGGGUGAGCGAAUCUCGGAAAGCCGGUCUCAGUUCGGAUUGGGGUCUGCAACUCGACCUCAUGAAGUCGGAGUCGCUAGUAAUCGCAGAUCAGCAACGCUGGGGUGAAUACGUUCCCGGG